rnacentral:rRNA from 1 species
UACGUAGGGUGCGAGCGUUGUCCGGAAUUAUUGGGCGUAAAGAGCUCGUAGGCGGUGUGUCACGUCGGCCGUGAAAACCUGCAGCUUAACUGUGGGCGUGCGGUCGAUACGGGCAUCACUGGAGUUCGGCAGGGGAGACUGGAAUUCCUGGUGUAGCGGUGAAAUGCGCAGAUAUCAGGAGGAACACCGGUGGCGAAGGCGGGCCUCCGGGCCGAUACUGACGCUGAGGAGCGAAAGCGUGGGGAGCAAACAGG